UUUUUAUAAAAAAAAAAAAUAAGAUCACAAUUUCGCAGAGCAUAUGCAAUGCCAGUGAGCUGGCCUGUGACUUGUGAAAACGAUAGCCAAAAACCACCGACAUUUCCUUGACUUCCGACAAAUGUUUUUAUUUUGUGUCCCAAAACUCCAUGCAUUUUAUUUGAAAGCUUUGCAGCAUCAGUACAAUUGAAUUAUGAUGAAACUAUAUGAGAAGAAACAUGACUGCAUAAAAGAUCAGAAUGAACAGACUGCAUAAACAGUUAAUCGAAUGAUCUCCAUAACCUCUUAGUUGUAAUAAAUUUUCCAGCGAAUAGAGGCAGAUAUUUCAAAUCAGCACAUCAGCAACGCUGAUAUAGUUGUUGUUACUUUGAACCAAUAUCGCAAAUUAUAUUAAAGAAAUCAUGAACAUUCGUGGAAACAGACGAUUUGUAGAAAUGUUUAAAGGAUGAUAGACACACUGUUCAUACAGCAGCAGCGAUAAGCUAAAUAGCAUAAUCUGCAGAGCACACCCCAUCCAUAAAUCGAUAACCUAGGCCAUGGCUAACUUGCGAAUGAUACCAUAAAACAGUUCAUGCUGAAUAACUCCAUCACUCGAUUUCACCUCCAGGACAAUUGUUCCCCAACAGUCAUUCAAAUUAUUGUUAUGAAAAUCUCCAAAAAUGCAUUUCAAAGCCCUUCAAGAUUGCACGUGAAUUUUCGCAGGGCGUCAUUCUACCUACUUUCGCGCUAUUCUUCCCUUCCAGACGGUCGACAGUUGAAAGCCGGUCAUCACUGUCUUAGUGCGCCCAGCGGAAAAUUUAGUCUUGCGUCACGCAUACCAUGAUACGAAAACCGUUCGGCAGCAGACAACCAACAAGACACAGGGUGGUUCAAAACCGCAAUGGCGGACCCCACAAACUGCCUUUGUCGAUCGAUUUUCACAGUUCAGACUGGUUUUUCAGAAACGUUUUAUACCAUGAAUAAAAUUUGAGUUACACCAGAAGGUUGGCAAUUAAUCGAUGCUUCAUCGUUAUGAAGAAUGGAAAGAUCUACCUCUUAUUACUGUAUAAAUAACCAUAAAGAUUUAAGGCGCAAUGGAAAUAAUCCAAAAUUAACAACCAAAAAACUUGAUUUUCUGGAAACCUACAACAUUAUAACCCGCAGAAAAUUGGGCCCCGGAUCGAAACCCUUAACGGUUACCUAAUUAUGUUUUCAGUUGAAAGGAUUCAAAGAAAACUCCUGAGAUUUAGCGAAAAAUGUUCACAAUUUUCAUGCAGAAACAUGUCUUCAUAGUUGAAUGUUAUUCCUACCCAGCCCGAUACAACUCAGAUCGUGGUACGAACACCAACAUGCGCUACCCCGAGCGAUAGGUAAAAUACCAACGGCAACAACAACUCUCAACACGGCUACGGUCGAACGUACGUCUGUUACCUGCCGGCACUACAUAAGCCGUAUGACAGGAACGGUUCGGCAUCAUUCGUUUCUCGGCAGUCAAGGCGAUAAGUGUGGCACGUACAAAGUGAGUAAAGAAAAGGAAAAUGGUGAAGUGAAAGUAUUGGAUUUGUGAUUCCAUAAUGGAAUGUGCUUUAAUUUGUGCUAGAGGAAAAGCAAUAUUUCUCCCAGGAGGAAAAAUUGAUAAUCACCUAUGUGUGAAGUUGUUGGAAUGGGAGCUGUUGUAACCACAGCGAAAACGCAAUUAGCAGAAACGGGAAACCAGUGAAAAAGAAAAAUGGCGGAGACAUCCCACGCCUCAAGUGCCAGGUCAUAGAAGUGGAAUUGCAAAUUUGCAUUAGGAUCAGUUGGAGUAAUCUCAGUUUUGCGGGGAUUCAGUGCAUAAUGAAUCAAACAAUUAAGGUUCACAAAAAUCAAUUUCCGAAUGUCAGUAAUGCUGAGGUAAAGCGUGUAUUAUAUUCCGACCGGCAAAGCAAUGCCAAAUUUCCGACGAGACCGGAGGUGAGAGUUUUCCAAGAUGGCGUCCUUCAGCCACAUGUGGAGGUUAUGUUUGCUGACUCAUCAAAAAAUUGCAAUGGCGUAUGGGCAUGCGCUCGGCCAUGCUCUGUGAGAAAAAAGUUCCUAACCUCAAACACGCCAACCGGCGUGAAGCAGCGGAUUCAUAUGAAUUCCAUUACAUUUAUUCUUUUCUCAACGCAAGAUAACCACCAUCGUAAGUUCUUUUUAAGUUCUAUUUCUAUUAUUUUUGCGAAGGCUUGAUGCCACCACUGGAGUUUCUCUAUAUAUUUCUAUUUACAAUUCGUAUCAGACAGAAUAUCAACCACUAGAAUUUCUCUAUAUAUUUCUAUUUACAAUUCGUAUACGACAAGUUAAAACCACUGGAGUUUCUCUAUAUAUUUCUAUUUACAAUUCGUAUACGGAAGUCAAGAACCAACACUGUUAUUUCUUUUUAAGUUCUAUUUCUAUUAUUUUUACGAACCAAGAUGAAACAUCAAAGCCACAGUAAUUUCUCAAUAUUUUCUAUUUCCUAUUCGUAUCAGAAAAAAAAAUCAACCACUUGAAUUUCUCAAUAUUUUCUAUUUCCUAUUCGUAUGAGAACGAGAUCCAACCACUCGAAUUUCUCAAUAUUUUCUAUUUCCUAUUCGUAUCAGAACGAGAUCCAACCACUCGAAUUUCUCAAUAUUUUCUAUUUCCUAUUCGUAUGAGAAUCAACCAACCACUAGAAUUUCUCAAUAUUUUCUAUUUCCUAUUCGUAUAAGAACGAGAUCCAACCACUUGAGUUUCUCAAUAUUUUCUAUUUCCUAUUCGUAUGAGAAUUUUAAAGAUACACAAACUAGACUGUAAUUUCUUUCAAAUUCUAUUUCAAUUUUUUUUGAACAGAUAAAGAGCCAACCUAUCUGUAAUUUCUUUCAAAUUCUAUUUCAAUUUUUUUUCAAAACAGAUUAAGAUCCAACCUUUCUGUGAUUUCUUUCAAAUUCUAUUUCAAUUUUUUUUGAACAGAUAAAGAGCCAACUUAUCUGCAAUUUCUUUCAAAUUCUAUUUCAAUUUUUUUGCGGAAAUGUUUAUGUCUAAUACUACAAAUCGAGGGAUUUGCAUGUAUACAAAUAAAAAAAAACACAAUGUUGUUCACUCUUUGACAGUCACACGCAAGUUGAAAAAAAAAGAUUUUUCUAGCAAAAUGAGACAUACGACUUACAAUUUGCAAAUUGAUUGCAAUUAUCAGUUCUGCUUAGCAGUCGUCAUCAUAUGACCAAAGGUCGCAUGAGUGCGGAAAGUUGUAGAAAAGUUUUUAGAAGAAGUCGUCAUCAUAUGACCAAAGGUCGCAUGAGUGCGUAAAAUUAAAAAAAAAAGUUUCUCAUAGAGGUCGUCAUCAUAUGACCAAAGGUCGCAUGAGUGCGUAAAAUUAAAAAAAAAAGUUUCUCAUAGAAGUCGUCAUCAUAUGACCAAAGGUCGCAUGAGUGCGUAAAAUUAAAAAAAAAAAAGUUUCUCAUAGAAGUCGUCAUCAUAUGACCAAAGGUCGCAUGAGUGCGUAAAAUUUAAAAAAAAAAAGUUUCUCAUAGAAGUCGUCAUCAUAUGACCAAAGGUCGCAUGAGUGCCAAAUAAUACAAAAAGUAACUCAUAGAAGUCGUCAUCAUAUGACCAAAGGUCGCAUGAGUGCGAAAAUUUAAAAUACCUUCACUGUGGUUUCUUUUUAAGUUCUAUUUCUAUUAUUUUUACAAAAAAGCAAAGUUUCUCCAAAAAGUCGUCAUCAUAUGACCAAAGGUCGCAUGAGUGCGAAAACAACAAGAACCACCACUGUUAUUUCUUUUUAAGUUCUAUUUCUAUUAUUUUUACGGAUUUGAAGUGUCUACAUCCAAAAGUCGUCAUCAUAUGACCAAAGGUCGCAUGAGUACGAAAAUGAAAUAUACCAACACUGUUAUUUCUUUUUAAGUUCUAUUUCUAUUAUUUUUGAAUCCAACCACUAGAAUUUCUUUCAAAUUCUAUUUCAAUUUUUUUUUGCGAAAGCGUUUACAUAACAAAAGCUUUCUGACCGUGAUAUUAUCACUACGGAAUAUUAUUUUUGAGUUUAAUGAAGUCUUUUCAUUGCGUGAUAUUAUCACUACGGAAUAUUAUUUUUGAGAGUAACAAAGUCUUUCAGACCGUGAUAUUAUCACUACGGAAUAUUAUUUUUGAGUUUAAUGAAGUCUUUUCUUUGCGUGAUAUUAUCACUACGGAAUAUUAUUUUUGAGAUUGACGAAGUUUUUCAUUGCGUGAUAUUAUCACUACGGAAUAUUAUUUUUGAGAUAAUGAAGUCUUUUCAUUGCGUGAUAUUAUCACUACGGAAUAUUAUUUUUAAGAUAAUGAAGUCUUUUCAUUGCGUGAUAUUAUCACUACGGAAUAUUAUUUUUGAAAUUAACAAAGUCUUUCAGACCGUGAUAUUAUCACUACGGAAUAUUAUUUUUGAGAUUAACGAAGUCUUUUCUUUGCGUGAUAUUAUCACUACGGAAUAUUAUUUUUGAAAAAUACUCUUCUCUUGAGAAGUCGUCAUCAUAUGACCAAAGGUCGCAUGAGUGCCAAAACAAGAAUCACCACUGUUGUUUCUUUUUAAGUUCUAUUUCUAUUAUUUUUACGGAUAGCAAGAGUCUACAUCCAAAAGUCGUCAUCAUAUGACCAAAGGUCGCAUGAGUGCGAAAAAAAUGAUAGAAACUACCAUGCCACUGAAAUUUCUUUCAAAUUCUAUUUCAAUUUUUUUUACCAUUGAGAAUACAUAAACAAAGCUUCUCGGAUCGUGAUAUUAUCACUACGGAAUAUUAUUUUUGCCUCUAAAGAUACCAAUGUUUCUGUAAUUUCACAAUAUUACAAUAUGCAUUACAAAUUUGCGAGUUCGAACAAAAAGUCUAAUCGAACCGUGAUAUUAUCACUACGGAAUAUUAUUUUUGCGGUUAUAUUUAAAGUCUGUUGAAUGUCUGAGAUACCACACUAUAAUUUCUUUCAAAUUCUAUUUCAAUUUUUUUUACAAGGAGAACUAUUGAACAGAGUUUCCCGAACCGUGAUAUUAUCACUACGGAAUAUUAUUUUUGUUUAAAAAGAUACCAACGUUUCUGUAAUUUCACAAUAUUACAAUAUGCAUUACAAAUUUAUGGAGUGACCCUUUAUGGGUCAUUCAGGAUACAAACAACCUCUGAAAUUUCACAAUAUUACAAUAUGCAUUACAAAUUUGAGUCUUUGACUUAUUCAAAGUCUUAAUGAAGAUACGAUAGAAAGAAAAAUAUGUCUUUGAAUUGCGAAUAUAUUUCAUCUUGUAAACAAAAGAGUCUUAUCGAACCGUGAUAUUAUCACUACGGAAUAUUAUUUUUGCGAUAAUAUUCUAAGUCUACUAAAAUGUCUUAGAUACCACACUGUAGUUUCUUUCAAAUUCUAUUUCAAUUUUUUUUGAAAACUUUUGUAACUGAAAACAAAGCAAGAAAAAUUAUUGUAUUUAGAUUGUAAGCUAGGUUUACGGAAUGAAUAAAAAAUAAAGUAAACUAAAACAA